GCCAUAUCAAUUUUGAGAAAUUCUGGCAGCUGGCGAAGCAGGUGACUGAAUUCAUCGCGUGGAAGCAAGUUGCCUGUCCAUUCGAGAAGAAUCCGCGUGUCAUUGCCUUCCUUCAGGCGAGCCCCGUGUUGACGGAAAACACACUUGCGCUAGCAUCUUUCGAGUGCGAACCGCCCGAUAACAAUCCGGAAAAGGAACGUUAUAAAGCUUUAAAAUCUGAGAUGAAUGCCCAGUGAAAGCGAGCUAUUCUGAAACAUGCCGAAUGGGAACGGUAUUGAUAUAGAUAUACAUGUGGAGAUACAUUUAUAAAUAUUAAUAUAUUCAUAAUCGUAGUUAGUUUAUCCGUGAAGAAAAUGAUGAGAGGAAAAGAUGAAGAGCAGAUGGAAGAUCGCGACAGCUGACUAAAGUAUUACUGGGACGACCUACGUGAGAUUAGGUAUUUCUGUCUUGCGAAUUUUUAUGAUGAUUAAAAAUUUCCAAUGACGACUUGGCAUCGUCGGAAACAUCAUUUAAUCGCGAUCUGUACAAUCAUCGCUUAUCUUUCUGUUA